rnacentral:rRNA from 1 species
GACGAACGCUGGCGGCGUGCUUAACACAUGCAAGUCGAACGGAAAGGCCCUGCUUUUGUGGGGUGCUCGAGUGGCGAAAGGGUGAGUAACACGUGAGUAACCUGCCCUUGACUUUGGGAUAACUUCAGGAAACUGGGGCUAAUACCGGAUAGGAGCUCCUGCUGCAUGGUGGGGGUUGGAAAGUUUCGGCGGUUGGGGAUGGACUCGCGGCUUAUCAGCUUGUUGGUGGGGUAGCGGCUUACCAAGGCUUUGACGGGUAGCCGGCCUGAGAGGGUGACCGGCCACAUUGGGACUGAGAUACGGCCCAGACUCCUACGGGAGGCAGCAGUGGGGAAUAUUGCACAAUGGGCGGAAGCCUGAUGCAGCAACGCCGCGUGCGGGAUGACGGCCUUCGGGUUGUAAACCGCUUUCGCCUGUGACGAAGCGUGAGUGACGGUAAUGGGUAAAGAAGCACCGGCUAACUACGUG